AUUUUACACAUCAGCGACUGCAUUCCCACAAGGACAAGUUCGUGGAUGCCCUAAGGACACAUUUCUGUACAAACCACAAUUGAACUUGGUCCUUCUAUCCUGCCUCAGCCGAGGGACGGGGAAGCGUGGUCUUAAAGGGACUUUUACAUACCCUGUGGUUCUGUACAUCUUUGUUUGAAUAGCACAGAAAUCAUCGAAAGAGAGGAAUAGGGACGCCCACGAUGUCCCGUGCAGAGGCCGCCGGCCUUGUCCCCCAGGCAGCACGUCCCCCCAGGUGUGGCGUCAGGGCUCCUGCGGGACUCGGGUCCUUUAAGCCACCAGCUCAAACCCUCCCCUCUGGGCCAGAAACGAACUUCCGUCUGUCUUCGUACCACAUCCUCACUGUGUUUUGUGGAAUGUUCCACGUGCACUGACGGGUGGAUUGGACGAAAGAGGACAGGAGGACAGGAGGAAGAACCUUCCCAAGAAGGAACCCUCCCUUAAGGAAGUGGACGCUCAGAGUUAGUUACUAGAUAAGCUGCAGGUGGACAAAACCCUCCCACAAAGAAAGGCACGAUCUCAGAGCCCAGUCCUGCUUCUUCGGGCCUGUAAUCCCCGCCAAGCUCGAGGCCCGAGGAGCAGAGACCCAGCAAACGUCUGGGAGACGGACAGAGGAGCACAGCUCAUGUGUUUUGUGGCCCAACACUGUUACCGUCGUUUCACUGCGAAUGGAAUGAGCGACAUGUGACACCGUUCAAGCGCCUCCGGGCCUCUUCUGAAGGGCAAAUUACACGUUUCCGCCACCUACCAGGGGAGACACUCAGGGCUUCAGCUGGAAGAAAACGUCCCACUCUAAGUCUGUGCCUCCAGCUUUGUUUUCUUAGAAUUUGGCUUCCUGGAGACACCAUCCAGAGUGGUGGCUGCGCCGCAGUAGGAGCCCCACGGACGGAUGACAAGGAUAAACAUGCUCCUGCUUUCAUCACUUAGGGAGCACUGGUCACUCUGGACAGUGGCGGGCACUCCAGAAAGGAAGCCGACAGGACCUCUGCUCCCCAAGACCCUCGGCGCAGAAUAAACCAGGUCACACGAGGGAGGCCCGUUUCAAACGGCACCAGGGCCUCCGUCCGAGGUUUUGCUCGAUGGCUGGGCUUGAACUUCAAUCACCAUGAAAUGAAGCAAGCGCAGUGAGCGGGUCUGUGGCCGCCAAUUCUGAGGCUCCGAGAAGGGCUGGGCGACGGCCAGGCGCCAGGGGAGCGCGGGCGUGUCUGGUGACUGAGGAGUCCCCCAAGGUUUCAGCAGAGAAUAAAGAGAGGCCGGAGGGAGAGAGAGUGAGCAUCACCCCCAGAGGGGGCGUGAAGGGGGUCCUGGCGGUCCACUGGCAAACGAGAGAGCGGAGGUGAAGAUGCCGACCAGCAGGAACGAAAUCGCCCGACAUAGAAAUACACGUGGUCACCGUUUCCUGCGCAAGCGCGUUAAAACCAAGCCUUGGGCAGGCUAAUCGGAUUUUAAAAGCCCUAAGAGAGUUUACUGUUCUGAGACGUUCUUGCUGAACUCCUUUGACUAGAAUAAUUCUUUUGUAAAAUAAAUAAUCUGCCACACAAACUUAUCUUUCGCUUCAAUCAGACCACAGCCUCGCCUGGCCUGUUCCAUAAUCAGCACAGCUGGAUUUAGGGCCAGAGACAGAGACAGACACAGAGAUCAAGACACACACACGUGACAGCUUUUCCAGAAUAAUGUCUUUAAAGCUGGCUGUGGACAAGCUCAGAGAAACUCACACCAUCCUGGGGGCCAGUUGCAAACACUGCAGCACAGGACAAACCUCUGAACCCGCCUGUGGCAUGUGGCUUCACAGAACCACUGGCCUGCGCACAGUCCAUUCUGGUUUGGGUUGGUUUGGUUGGUCGGUUGGUUUUGUUAGCAUUAAUGCCACACCCGCAGCAUAUGGAAGUUCCUGGGCCAGAGACUGAAUCCAAGCUUCACCGGGACCAACACCACAGCUUCGGCAACACCAGAUACCUUAACCCACUGUGCCAGGACGCUGAACCCUCUGCACCACAACGGGCACUCCAUUUUCUAGCUUGUUUUUGAUCACAGGACGCAUCAGACUUGAGAGGGGGAAUACGCAAGAAACCGAUCUGCAUAUUUCUCGUGGGAUUGACUAUUCUUAUUUUUUGUAAGGAGACUAAGUGGAAUUAAGUUGGUUUUGAGCGUUCGGGCGGGAGCUGUAAGCACAUCAACAUGUGAAAUAACUCUGACUCUCAAGUCUGUUUCAUGUGAAGAAAACGCUCACAUCACAGAAAGAUGGUCACCCUAAUUGGCAACCUUUCAGAAGAAGGCUACACGCAAGAGCGACGCACCUCCUGCCAGACCUCGGACCCGCCCCAAAGUGACUAAAUACAGUCUCGGUAAUAAAACAGCAUCGCCAAGACUGCCGUUCCAAAUACGGUUCUAUGGAUGACACUGUGUGUUCAGUCCAUAAGAAAACAGCCAAGCUCAUGCCAAAAUGUUUAUGUAUCAAACCAGACACACACACACACACACGCUUCUGUGGAAAGACAAACUGGGAAACGGCUGCCACCUCUUGCGGGGAGGGUCUUUCCCAAAGACCAGUCCAGGUUCUUCAGGGUUUGGUUUGGUUCCAUUCGCAAAACUAAGCAGUGAACAUUUGCAAGACUCUCCGCUGAAGGGCAUAUGUAAGAAGGAAUCGCAAAGCCCUCAGAAACCAACAGGACGGCAGCCUGCUUCCCACGGGGCUUUAUGGGAAAAGUCACCCCACUUUAUUCUGACAUUUGCCCACUGGGCACACACCCACAUUCUGGAUGAGGAAGCUGAGUCUCAAGGGCAAGUGUUCCUGGGAUGAGGCUGGAGGGGUUGGCGGAGGACAGCUGGCACAGCUCCACGUGCGAAGCUGGUGGCAGAUGGGGGGGGCUCCUUCUGCUCCUCCGCCUGUGCCUCCAGCAACAUGGUCAGUUCAGGGGGCAGGUGUGGCAAAGAGGAAAAACCAUGACAGAAACGCAGAGCGACCUUGAUGAACGCAGUCUGGGGCAGAAACAGGGCUCUCACCUGGCGGCUGUGCGGGCGUCACCCUGUCACCUCCGGCAGCCGGCCAGGUUCUCCCUGCAAAGCCUGGGAAUGCCCCCAGUCCUCUGGGAGAGCGGGUCGUCUGGGAGUGUGGCCUCCACCGCGCAGCGUCGUGUCCUGUUACCACCCAGGCACGCCCAGCGCCCUCAGCAGACAGGGCUUGUGGGUCCAUCCCCUGAGCUGUCCGGUGGACGGAGGCUCAGCACGGCCGGCUGAUGUGGGGGGCGCAGAGGGGACUGUCCCCCGCAGGGCAGGGUCCUGUCCUGCAGGGAUUCAAAGCGCGUGGGCACAGGAGACGGGGAAGGAAGGAAGCAGAGCUGGGCUCUGGGGGGGGCCCUGCUGUCAGGAGGCCACGCAGCGGAUGCCCAGCGCACCGGGAUGCAGCCCGGAGUCCCCUCCACUGGGCCUGCUCCUGAGCCGCGGGUCCAGGAGGAGGCGCCCACUGGACAGUCAGACCCGCCCUGCUGACCCCCGCGACGUCGCGCUCACGCCCUGAGCUUUGCAAGGGAUGGAGUUCUGCGCUUCUGCUUCAGGAGGAGAGGAGGUGCUGGGGCUCGAGGCGGGAGCUCGGCCUCGGUGAGACUCAGAGCCGCUCCAUCACUGGCUCCCAGAGAGAUCCGGCUUUCCCACGGGAUCGCGGACAGAAGGCUGAACUCUGAACUCGAGGCCACACGAAGCUUCCCAGCCUCAGGAUGCUGGCCGGUGUGCCCCAGUUUCCCAUGUGGCACAGGGGUUCCUGAAUCUUGUGCAAACUGCAAAGUCCUUUUUUUUUCUUUUUCUUAGGGCUGCACCCGUGGCACAUGGAGGUUCCCAGGCUAGGGGUCGAAUUGGAGCUACAGCUACUGACCUACACCGCAGCCACAGCAAUGCCAGAUCCGAGCAGCAUCUGUGACCUACACCACAGCUCACGGCAACGCCGGAUCCUUAACCUGCUCAGCAAGGGCAGGGAUGGAACCCGCAACCUCAUGGUUCCUAGUCGGAUUCAGUUCCACUGCGCCACGAUGGGAAUGCCCCGCAGACUCUUAGAUAGUGUUUACCCGAAUUUUAAAGCCACCAGAAAGGAACAUGACAGAAAGGAGAGCAUCAAAACCCCAUAAAUGUUAACACAUGUUAACAGCUGUUCUCUAAAGUGAAACUGGAGGUGGGUUUUGUUUUUCUAAGUUUUCCUUAUUUUCUAUAAUUUGCUUACAUGGAGCACAUAUGCCUGUUAUCUUCAAAGAUAAAGGAAAUAUUUUAAAUGCACUAAAAACAGAAUUACACCCCCCCCAAGAGAUGCCUAUGUCACUGGGUAUGGGGGCCCACCCCACACCUGCAACCACAAAAGAAGCCUGCUCUGGUGGUGCCCACCCCCUCCCCCGGCCAGAUGCCCUCUGUUUCUUCUUAGGAAGUCCCAUCAUCGUCAUUAUUACUAUUAUUUUGCUUUUUAGCACCGCACCCACGGCAUAUGGAAAUUCCCCAGGCUGGGGGCUGAAUCGGACCUACAGCUGCUGGCCUACAUCACAGCCACAGCCACGCAGGAUCCCAGCCACGUCUUCAACCUACACCACAGCUCAUGGCAACGCCGGAUCCUUAACCCACUGAGGGAGGCCAGAGAUGGAAAGCGCGUCCACAUGGGUACUUGUCAGGUUCAUUUCCAACGAGCCAUGACAGGAACUUCUGUAAGUCCCGUUAUCGCAGGAGAUUCCCCGACUUCUUGGGAGAAACCCAGACUCUGAAGGAGAGACACACAUCAGCCACCCGAGACGCCCGGCGUCUCCAUGAACCCCGAUAAACACACCUGUAACUGGACCACCCCAAGCCACCAGCAAACAACUGAUCCAACAGUGAAAGACGGAUUGCUGGCGUCUGAGAGCAAUUUCAGGAAUGCCUUAUCAUCACGGCAGACUUAGCCACAACUAAUUCCAGAGCUUCCUUUGAGCAUCUGGUAUACCAGGCUCAGCACGGGGACAGAAAGAAAGAAGUCCACGGAGCAGGCCGUGAGCACAGCAGGCUCUAAACGAGCCCAAAGUAUGAAAAGAGAUGUGUCUAGACUUACCCGGGUUCAAUCAGGGGCAGGAUUUAAACUAAAAUCCAGGCUUUCCUGUUAUCAGUAGUUUAUUGCUGAGUCAAGGGGCUGGGAGGCAGAGGGACCCCUGCCCCCCUGCGGGGUUCUGGCCCUCUUGCCACUGUGCGCAAGCGGUCUGACAGGUGACCUGGUCCUGUCCCGCCUCCCACCGCCUCCCGUUUGUCUAGGCAGCCUGGUCUCUGAGCCCACGGUGCUGAUGCCCGCUCAGGGCUCACCCCUUCCAGGGCCUCUCUGCAAACCCACAUAAUUCUAUGUCCAUCUAGCCUCCCAGUCCUUGUCUGCUGGUCCACACCAUCUAGCAAGGAUGCACAUGCAAUCUCUCAAUUCUGCAAACUGGCCUCAACGUUGUACCUCAUGCAGGGGAUUCUUUUGAUUGUAAAACUGGUUUCUAAGGUCUUAAAGCAAGAACAUGCAUUUCAGGGCAGUGUUUGCAGGGAGACUGGGUGGGAGAUGGAAGGAGGAGAGACAGGAACUGGAGGGGGGGUGGUCCUGGCUCCACCCCAGCACAGCAACAUCAGGUCCUCCGGACAAAGAAGGGUCCUUCCUUCCUCCUUCUGUUUGUCCCCCACCCCAAGGGGAUUUUGGGGUGUGCUCUGGGGGUGUCUUAGCUUCCAAAAUUUCUUCCCUCUCUUUCUGAAUCUUUCUAGAACAUUCUGCUGCUGAAAAAAAAUACAUAUGGCAGAUCAUUCCCUCCUUCAGGCCAAAAUUCUUAAUGCUCAUAUCCUAGAUCCUAUUUAUAUGUACAAAGAAAUGUCUUGAAAGGCUUUAAAAGAAAAAAAAAAUUAAACCAACUUCCCAUGUCUUACUUUAAAAGGUGAAUUUUUCUGCAAAAUUUUAGUCAAUCAAAGAAUUUAUAAAAAUAACCUGGCUUGUGCUAUUACAAAGCAGGAAGGAAGAAAGGGAAAGAAAAGAAAGAAGAGGGAGAAAGAGAAAGAAAGAGGGAAAGAAAGAAAGAAAGAAAGCGAGCAAGAGAGAGAAAGAAAAAAGAAAGAAAGCCAACAGGGAGGAGCCAUCACUUCCAAAACAGCCCCCUGCCACUGGACUCCUGCCUGAGCUGGUGCAUUUGGCUUUUUCACCAGGCUCUUUGCCUUUCUGAGAAGGAGCACCACCUUGUGUGUUAAUUGACAGGGAAAAUAUGCUGGCUUUUCAUGUAACCAGUUUCCCGUGAACAUGCUAAGGACAGUGUCAAAGUACUUUCUUAAUUCUUUGACUUUGGACUGAGUCGGCACAUGACAUUUCUGGAUAAUCCUCCAGACUGAGUGCCCCACGGUGGGGGAUCUUUGGAUAAUGGCAUUACC
rnacentral:lncRNA from 1 species